rnacentral:misc_RNA from 1 species
ACCCUGACCCAGACCCUUCAGA